CUGACUUUUUCGUCGAGGCUCGGGCAGGCGCGGAAGCGAGCAACGCGGACCACAUGGCGCGGACGCUUCGA
rnacentral:SRP_RNA from 1 species